UAAGAAUGUCUCUGAAUUAGUUGUGCUAAGAGAGAAUCUGGUGAAAAUCCAGAACUGACGCGCAGCGGUAAUUGGGAACGAAAGCGACAUAAUGCGAAGCAAGAUAGCUACACGCAUUAGGCACUGGAACGUAAAAUUCUGGGAAGUCGUCGCUGUAGGAUAAUCGUUAGAUUUAACACACGCCCAUAAGUCCGAAGACCUGCCAAAGCAACCCAUUUAUC
rfam:Oleiphilus sp. HI0009 HI0009_c1342, whole genome shotgun sequence.